rnacentral:rRNA from 1 species
GGGUUGUGAGGUUAAGCGACUAAGCGUACACGGUGGAUGCCCUGGCAGUCAGAGGCGAUGAAGGACGUGCUAAUCUGCGAUAAGCGUCGGUAAGGUGAUAUGAACCGUUAUAACCGGCGAUUUCCGAAUGGGGAAACCCAGUGUGUUUCGACACACUAUCAUUAACUGAAUCCAUAGGUUAAUGAGGCGAACCGGGGGAACUGAAACAUCUAAGUACCCCGAGGAAAAGAAAUCAACCGAGAUUCCCCCAGUAGCGGCGAGCGAACGGGGAGCAGCCCAGAGCCUGAAUCAGUGUGUGUGUUAGUGGAAGCGUCUGGAAAGGCGCGCGAUACAGGGUGACAGCCCCGUACACAAAAAUGCACAUAUUGUGAGCUCGAUGAGUAGGGCGGGACACGUGGUAUCCUGUCUGAAUAUGGGGGGACCAUCCUCCAAGGCUAAAUACUCCUGACUGACCGAUAGUGAACCAGUACCGUGAGGGAAAGGCGAAAAGAACCCCGGCGAGGGGAGUGAAAAAGAACCUGAAACCGUGUACGUACAAGCAGUGGGAGCACGCUUAGGCGUGUGACUGCGUACCUUUUGUAUAAUGGGUCAGCGACUUAUAUUCUGUAGCAAGGUUAACCGAAUAGGGGAGCCGAAGGGAAACCGAGUCUUAACUGGGCGUUAAGUUGCAGGGUAUAGACCCGAAACCCGGUGAUCUAGCCAUGGGCAGGUUGAAGGUUGGGUAACACUAACUGGAGGACCGAACCGACUAAUGUUGAAAAAUUAGCGGAUGACUUGUGGCUGGGGGUGAAAGGCCAAUCAAACCGGGAGAUAGCUGGUUCUCCCCGAAAGCUAUUUAGGUAGCGCCUCGUGAAUUCAUCUCCGGGGGUAGAGCACUGUUUCGGCAAGGGGGUCAUCCCGACUUACCAACCCGAUGCAAACUGCGAAUACCGGAGAAUGUUAUCACGGGAGACACACGGCGGGUGCUAACGUCCGUCGUGAAGAGGGAAACAACCCAGACCGCCAGCUAAGGUCCCAAAGUCAUGGUUAAGUGGGAAACGAUGUGGGAAGGCCCAGACAGCCAGGAUGUUGGCUUAGAAGCAGCCAUCAUUUAAAGAAAGCGUAAUAGCUCACUGGUCGAGUCGGCCUGCGCGGAAGAUGUAACGGGGCUAAACCAUGCACCGAAGCUGCGGCAGCGACGCUUAUGCGUUGUUGGGUAGGGGAGCGUUCUGUAAGCCUGUGAAGGUGUGCUGUGAGGCAUGCUGGAGGUAUCAGAAGUGCGAAUGCUGACAUAAGUAACGAUAAAGCGGGUGAAAAGCCCGCUCGCCGGAAGACCAAGGGUUCCUGUCCAACGUUAAUCGGGGCAGGGUGAGUCGACCCCUAAGGCGAGGCCGAAAGGCGUAGUCGAUGGGAAACAGGUUAAUAUUCCUGUACUUGGUGUUACUGCGAAGGGGGGACGGAGAAGGCUAUGUUGGCCGGGCGACGGUUGUCCCGGUUUAAGCGUGUAGGCUGGUUUUCCAGGCAAAUCCGGAAAAUCAAGGCUGAGGCGUGAUGACGAGGCACUACGGUGCUGAAGCAACAAAUGCCCUGCUUCCAGGAAAAGCCUCUAAGCAUCAGGUAACAUCAAAUCGUACCCCAAACCGACACAGGUGGUCAGGUAGAGAAUACCAAGGCGCUUGAGAGAACUCGGGUGAAGGAACUAGGCAAAAUGGUGCCGUAACUUCGGGAGAAGGCACGCUGAUAUGUAGGUGAAGUCCCUUGCGGAUGGAGCUGAAAUCAGUCGAAGAUACCAGCUGGCUGCAACUGUUUAUUAAAAACACAGCACUGUGCAAACACGAAAGUGGACGUAUACGGUGUGACGCCUGCCCGGUGCCGGAAGGUUAAUUGAUGGGGUCAGCGCAAGCGAAGCUCUUGAUCGAAGCCCCGGUAAACGGCGGCCGUAACUAUAACGGUCCUAAGGUAGCGAAAUUCCUUGUCGGGUAAGUUCCGACCUGCACGAAUGGCGUAAUGAUGGCCAGGCUGUCUCCACCCGAGACUCAGUGAAAUUGAACUCGCUGUGAAGAUGCAGUGUACCCGCGGCAAGACGGAAAGACCCCGUGAACCUUUACUAUAGCUUGACACUGAACAUUGAGCCUUGAUGUGUAGGAUAGGUGGGAGGCUUUGAAGUGUGGACGCCAGUCUGCAUGGAGCCGACCUUGAAAUACCACCCUUUAAUGUUUGAUGUUCUAACGUGGACCCGUGAUCCGGGUUGCGGACAGUGUCUGGUGGGUAGUUUGACUGGGGCGGUCUCCUCCUAAAGAGUAACGGAGGAGCACGAAGGUUGGCUAAUCCUGGUCGGACAUCAGGAGGUUAGUGCAAUGGCAUAAGCCAGCUUGACUGCGAGCGUGACGGCGCGAGCAGGUGCGAAAGCAGGUCAUAGUGAUCCGGUGGUUCUGAAUGGAAGGGCCAUCGCUCAACGGAUAAAAGGUACUCCGGGGAUAACAGGCUGAUACCGCCCAAGAGUUCAUAUCGACGGCGGUGUUUGGCACCUCGAUGUCGGCUCAUCACAUCCUGGGGCUGAAGUAGGUCCCAAGGGUAUGGCUGUUCGCCAUUUAAAGUGGUACGCGAGCUGGGUUUAGAACGUCGUGAGACAGUUCGGUCCCUAUCUGCCGUGGGCGCUGGAGAACUGAGGGGGGCUGCUCCUAGUACGAGAGGACCGGAGUGGACGCAUCACUGGUGUUCGGGUUGUCAUGCCAAUGGCACUGCCCGGUAGCUAAAUGCGGAAGAGAUAAGUGCUGAAAGCAUCUAAGCACGAAACUUGCCCCGAGAUGAGUUCUCCCUGACCCUUUAAGGGUCCUGAAGGAACGUUGAAGACGACGACGUUGAUAGGCCGGGUGUGUAAGCGCAGCGAUGCGUUGAGCUAACCGGUACUAAUGAACCGUGAGGCUUAACCUUACAACGCCGAAG